UGGGUGGGGGUGUGAGGGCAGGUGUGACUUUAAAAGGGCAGCACACGGGCGUUUGGGGGGAGGUCGUGGUGCUCGUGAGUCCUGACUGUGGUGGUGGUUACACAAAUCCACACGUGUUAAAAUUCUUACACUCAUACACCAAAAAGGAAAUAAAUUUUACUGCGUGAUAGUUUAAAAAGUAAAAUUAAAAUCAACUGUUUCCUAUUCCAAGAGUCUCCAGGUGGCGAAGGGUCUCAAGCUGAUAAAGGGCCUCAGGCCAGAGAGCACUCGGGAGAAGACAGGCCAAAGUGGAGCCAAGGACAUGGCUGUAAACUCUUUGUUAGGAUGGUAGAAAAAAUCCAGGUAGGGGGUCGCAGACCCUUUAAAACAGACAAGACGCCCCCAAUGGGUCUUAAGGUGCACCUCAGGGAGCCUUUACAUUAAACCAAGAGUCUAAGGGUCUUAAGGGCUUGUUCCAGAGCCGCGUUGCAGGGAGCCCGCGGGGCAGAGGGCUCUGUCAUUCUGUUUUCCAAGGUAUCCGGCACCUUCUAACUGCAGCGUAAUUCACUGUCUUGUCUGUCAUUGGAAAGCAAGUGCCCGCAGGGCUGGGAUCUGUUUGUUCACCUAGAACAGCGCCUGGCUCACAGCCGGCGCUCAGGAGUGCCUGUUAGAUGAUGAGUGGGACCCGUGAGGCGGCAGCCAGCACCACCCAAUGGCCAGGAUUACGAGGAGCAGCUGACGGGGGCUGGCGGCUCCCCACCCACUGUGUCCCACCCUGGCCCGCUGAUAGCAGAACUGACAUUUGUCACCCACUCUCCACCUCGGGCAGCGCUGCUCACUGUCCUGCCCUUCCUUUGCCACUCCCAGGGGGUCUGUGAAAGGUCAGGCAUGUGACGUCCACACCUCUGAUGGAGAAAAGACCUUUCAGACAAAGAGAGAUGUCAAAGCCAGCAUGCCACCCAGCCGUCGCCCAGAGAUGACCCGCUGCCCCACUGCCAAGGGAUAGGCCAGCCUCCGCUGGCUCUUCAAUGGGGCGGGGGCAGCCCUCACCUCCCUACCGGCCCCGGCCAGCAGCUCUGUCCUGGGUCCAGCCCGUUGCCGGGAGUUAAACACGGGGCUCUCCAGGAGAGACCGGCACAGAUUCCGGGUGUCAGUUCCCAAAAUGCCGCCAGAGGAAGUAGCAGGACAGAACGGAGGACGCCCUCCCCAAGACGCUGGCGUCCACCUUGCUUAUAAUUUUGAAAAGGUGGAACUGCCAACUGUCCUUUGAUGAGAGAGGGUCAAAGGAGUCAUGAUAGAGGUCUCCACAAGAGUCAAACACCGCCAGUAAAUUUGUGUGAAUUGAUGUGGAAAACAGCCCAAGAUACAUCAUGAGUGACAAGGGCAGGUGGUGGCGUGGUCCGUUGUGUGAUGGAGGCCCCAGGUGAACAGAGACACUGGGGGACCACGGCUGGGGGUCACCCCUCUCCUAUGACUCUCUCUGCUGCAGCAGCUGUGUGUGACGACACGGCAUUGGCGUGUGACCGGUGACCUGGAGAGCCCGUGCCUCGCAGGCUCUGUGGGGGACGCCCCAUUGUCAGCCACGUUGGUGCGAGCCCUGGGUCGGGGACAAGCAGAGUGUUCACAGGACACCUCCCUCUGGGGUGGGUGGGGCUCCUGGGUCCUGGGAGCCAGGCUCUUCCUUCCCAUAAUUCCCUGCCUCCUAUUUGCAGAGGGUCUCCCCCAGGGGACUCGGGGGAAGCUGCACGAGUUCACAGGACUCUGGGGCGUCUGCUGAAGCCUGGGGCAUCACCCCACUGAGGCAUAGGGUGGGUGUGCCUGUGUGUGCACAUGUGCGUGUGUGCACGCGUGACCAUGCACACACACACACCCACUCACUCUUAAAGUUCUGUGCCCGUGAAGGGUGGGUUCAAACCUGAUCCUGGAGUGGGUUCCCAUCCCGGCUCUGGCACCUGCAAGUGGCUUGACCUUGGGCGGAUCAUGUCGCCCUGCUGCCUCGGCUCUCGCAUCCGCCAGGGGCCCAGGCGGGGACCGGGCUCAUGGGGCAGCGUGAGGAUGAAUCGCUCCGUCUCUGCGGAGCUCCGAGGAUGCCCCUGGCCACAGCGGUGCUCGAUGGCUGUCAUCCGGCAGCUCCAGGCCCUGAGGUGGCCGCCUUCCGGUCUAAGGCUGGAGCCGGAGGACCGGCUGUACCGAGAGGCAAGACUCCCGGUUCGAGACGCUUCCUCUCCGGGCCGGCUCCUCGGGGCACAGAGAUGAACCAUGCAGAGCAGUCGCUCCCCGUGGUAAUGUGCAGAUUUGUUUUAAUCGGCAGCACGUUACUGAGGCACAUGCGAUAACCGUCUAAUGACUGUUACACGUUUAAUCCAUUUUGUUCUCAGCGGGCUCCUGCAGUAAUUACAUUCCGCGAUGUUUAAUUCAUUACUUGAUCGUUCAUUCCAAGUUGUGUUGGGUCGGACGGCAGGCUCUCGGGCGCUGCGCAGAUGGAGCCGGGCCCUCCGCUCUGGCUCGGGGGGCUCCCAGCAGGCAGCUCCCCACUCUGGGCCGGGAUGGAAGCUGGCAGAGCGGGCUCCGGGGCAGCAGAAGGGUCCUGAGGAUGGCGGUGAAAACUGCGAAGGCUGAUGUAACAUCGGGUGAAUUAUUACAAUAUUACAAUUAUUACAAUAACUCCACAACUCAGAGAGCGACAAGUGCUCACACUUCACCUCCAACACGCCCACGAGGCCGGGGCUGGCCCGCAGUGCGUUUAAAGGGCCUGGGCGGACCCUGUGGGCUCAGACACAUGUAGCCCUGGGCGCUUUACCUCAGCUUUCCGUGGCUCAGUUUCCCCGCCUCUGAAACGGAGGUGACACUACAGUACCAAUUUCAUUGGGGCUUAAGAGGAUUGGGGUACCUGGCUUAUAGCAAGGGCAGGAAAGUGUUUAUUAAGCAAUUAAAAUCGUCACCAUCCUUGCUCAACCGGGAAGGAAGCUGAGGCACGCAGAGCUGAGAAACCAGCCUGCAUGGUCGGGCUUCUCCAGGGGAACGGCGCCCAGAGGCUGUGCAGACGUACAGAUGCGUUCACUCGGAGGGACGAGCCCACGAUGCUGGCGGCCGAGAAGUCCCGCCAUCCGCAGUCUGAGAGCUGGAGGCCCAGGGAGCCGGUGCUGUGGUUCAGUCCGAGUCUGAAGGCCUGAGAACGGGGUGGGGGGCGAUGGUGUGAGUCCCCCUCCCAGGGCAGGGCAGGACAGGCCGGACGUCCCAGCUCCUGGGCAGGCAGGGCACAAUGCUCCUCCCCACGCUUUGUUCUAUCCCGGCCCUCAGCAGGUCAGACGAGGCCCGCCCGCAUGGGGGACGGCCAUCGGCUUCUCUGCUGCCAACGAGUCAAACGCUAGCUCCCCCAGAAACACCCUCCCAGACACCCCCAGAAUAACGUUCCGUCUGGGCCCCCAGAACAUCACAUCCCUCCAGGCCUCAGGUCUUCUUGGAGCCUCAGGUCUCCCCAGAAGUCUGUCCGCCAGGCAGGUGUUUCCCGGGGUCUGGCGAAACCUCCACCAGAACCACUCAGACCCGCUUUUACGGGCAGCGUCCAUGGCCCUCACACGGCCGCUGCAGAAUCUCUGAGAGGGUCUUUGCUGCCUGCACUGAAGGCGCCCAGGCAGCUGGGCUGUCAUCAGGUUUAGCUGCUGGUGUUUGCUUGAUCCGUGCCCAGACCCUGCCCUCCAACCUCCAGAGCACGCGGGCGAAUCCUACGCCCUCAGCCACGCGGUGGAGUCACUGUUUCCUCG
rnacentral:lncRNA from 1 species